rnacentral:rRNA from 1 species
CGUGUAGGCGGUUGGAUAAGUCGGAUGUGAAAUCCCGAAGCUCAACUUCGGAAGUGCAUUCGAAACUGUUCAGCUAGAGUACGGGAGAGGGGAGUGGAAUUCCUGGUGUAGAGGUGAAAUUCGUAGAUAUCAGGAGGAACACCGGUGGCGAAGGCGGCUCUCUGGACCGAUACUGACGCUGAGACGCGAAAGCGUGGGGAGCAAACAGGAUUAGAUACCCCGGUAGUCCACGCUGUAAACGGUGAGCACUAGGUGUAGCGGGUAUUGACCCCUGCUGUGCCGCAGCUAACGCAUUAAGUGCUCCGCCUGGGGAGUACGGCCGCAAGGUUAA